UACGUAGGCAGCGAGCGUUGUUCGGAGUUACUGGGCGUAAAGGGUGUGUAGGCGGUUGUUUAAGUUUGGUGUGAAAUCUCCCGGCUCAACUGGGAGGGUGCGCCGAAUACUGAAUGACUAGAGUGCGGGAGAGGAAAGUGGAAUUCCUGGUGUAGGCGGUGAAAUGCGUAGAUAUCAGGAGGAACACCGGUGGUGUAGACGGCUUCUGGACCGUAACUGACGCUGAGACACGAAAGCGUGGGUAGCAAACAGG
rnacentral:rRNA from 1 species